rnacentral:tRNA from 2 species
AGGGAUGUGGCGCAGCUUGGUAGCGUCUUUGUUUUGGAUACAAAAUGUCACGGGUUCCAAUCUUGUCAUCCCUA